rnacentral:rRNA from 1 species
UGCAGUCGAGCGGACAGAAGGGAGCUUGCUCCCGGAUGUUAGCGGCGGACGGGUGAGUAACACGUGGGUAACCUGCCUGUAAGACUGGGAUAACUCCGGGAAACCGGAGCUAAUACCGGAUAGUUCCUUGAACCGCAUGGUUCAAGGAUGAAAGACGGUUUCGGCUGUCACUUACAGAUGGACCCGCGGCGCAUUAGCUAGUUGGUGGGGUAAUGGCUCACCAAGGCGACGAUGCGUAGCCGACCUGAGAGGGUGAUCGGCCACACUGGGACUGAGACACGGCCCAGACUCCUACGGGAGGCAGCAGUAGGGAAUCUUCCGCAAUGGACGAAAGUCUGACGGAGCAACGCCGCGUGAGUGAUGAAGGUUUUCGGAUCGUAAAGCUCUGUUGUUAGGGAAGAACAAGUGCGAGAGUAACUGCUCGCACCUUGACGGUACCUAACCAGAAAGCCACGGCUAACUACGUGCCAGCAGCCGCGGUAAUACGUAGGUGGCAAGCGUUGUCCGGAAUUAUUGGGCGUAAAGGGCUCGCAGGCGGUUUCUUAAGUCUGAUGUGAAAGCCCCCGGCUCAACCGGGGAGGGUCAUUGGAAACUGGGAAACUUGAGUGCAGAAGAGGAGAGUGGAAUUCCACGUGUAGCGGUGAAAUGCGUAGAGAUGUGGAGGAACACCAGUGGCGAAGGCGACUCUCUGGUCUGUAACUGACGCUGAGGAGCGAAAGCGUGGGGAGCGAACAGGAUUAGAUACCCUGGUAGUCCACGCCGUAAACGAUGAGUGCUAAGUGUUAGGGGGUUUCCGCCCCUUAGUGCUGCAGCUAACGCAUUAAGCACUCCGCCUGGGGAGUACGGUCGCAAGACUGAAACUCAAAGGAAUUGACGGGGGCCCGCACAAGCGGUGGAGCAUGUGGUUUAAUUCGAAGCAACGCGAAGAACCUUACCAGGUCUUGACAUCCUCUGACAACCCUAGAGAUAGGGCUUUCCCUUCGGGGACAGAGUGACAGGUGGUGCAUGGUUGUCGUCAGCUCGUGCCGGGAAAGUGGGGUAAGUCCCGCAACGAGCGCACCCUUGAUCUUAGUUGCCAGCAUUCAGUUGGGCACUUUAAGGUGACUGCCGGUGACAAACC